GACCAGGUCCCCCUGCGCGUCCCGGUAGUUGAGGGCGAUGUCCUCUCUCUGGAACUCCCGCCUGGGAUGAGAAGGUCAGGGUUAAUCCCGGGCCGCAGGAGACCAGCCGGGGGCCCUGCGCCUAACGGCCUGGAGCUCCGAAUCAGAGAUCAGAGGUCAGAGGUCGACACAUAUGCGGCUUGUCCAGCCAGGCCCACCUCCCAUCAUGCAAAUGGGGAAACCGAGGCCCCAGUGGGAGAAGGGAUUCGCGCAGGAAACCAGCGGCACAGCCCGAAACGGUUAAAAUGCUGCUCAGGAGCUCCUGUUCCACGCUGCAGGGCCCGGGUUCAAGUCCCAGCUCCGCUCCUGAGUGCGGCUUCCUGCUCACAUGCACCCUGGGAGGCAGCAGGUGAUGGCUCAAGUACUUGGAGACCCUGCCACCCACAAGGGAGACCCAGAUCUGGCUCCUUGCUCCUGGGGGAGUGAAUCACUGCAUGGGGGAGCGCUCGCUCUCUCUCUCUCUCUGCCUCCCAAAUAAAUUAAUUAAUUUUUCAAAACUUCCAACAACCAUUGUAGUUCAGAAAAGUGGGCUUGGCUGGGUACGAGAAGCAGAAUAAAGCCCCAGAGGGACACGUGUGCGAGGCGAGUGCGAGGCACCCGGUAAGCACGACUGCUGCUAGUGUGCGAGACGGGCAUUCGUCUGCACACACACAUCUGCACACAGCACCCACGACACGCACGCACACGGCAUGCGCGUCAGAUGACCAGAGACGCCCAAGCAGGAGAUGACGUCAUGGCUCGCACGGCUCCAUCAACUGACGCUCUUCUUUCAAUGAUGAGUGGGUCUUGAGGCUCGAGUACCCCUCAUCCGAAAUGCCCGGGAGCAGAGGGCUUCUGACGGGUUCCUGGAAAAUGCAGACUAUGGGAAAAAACUAUGCACGGAUUAAAAAACAAAAACAAAAACAUCUGCACCAAAAUGAACUGACCGCGGAAGCCCAUGUCCCCAGGAGCUGUCUGCAGGACCCCCGGACAUGCAGCCUGGACAUUGCUGGACACACUGUUUUAGUGCAUCUGCGUUUCCAUGGCAACCCAUCCCGGGAGGCCAGGUGCCUGGCACCCCUCCUGGCACCCCAGGCACCCCUCCUGGCAGACCCCGCCUCCUCAUCCUCUCACCUCAUGAGCUCCAGCAGGUCCUUGAACAGCGGAGUGCUGCUGAGGUCUUCCU